rnacentral:rRNA from 1 species
UACGAAGGGGGCUAGCGUUGCUCGGAAUUACUGGGCGUAAAGGGCGCGUAGGCGGCACUGUUAGUCAGGCGUGAAAGUCCUGGGCUCAACCUGGGAACUGCGCUUGAUACGGCAGAGCUAGAGGAUGGAAGAGGCUCGCGGAAUUCCCAGUGUAGAGGUGAAAUUCGUAGAUAUUGGGAAGAACACCGGUGGCGAAGGCGGCGAGCUGGUCCAUUACUGACGCUGAGGCGCGACAGCGUGGGGAG